UUGACGCUGGCGGCAGGCCUAGCACAUGCAAGUCGAGCGGUAACAUUUCAAAAGCUUGCUUUUGAAGAUGACGAGCGGCGGACGGGUGAGUAAUGCCUGGGAAUUUGCCCAUUUGUGGGGGAUAACAGUUGGAAACGACUGCUAAUACCGCAUACGCCCUACGGGGGAAAGCAGGGGACCUUCGGGCCUUGCGCUGAUGGAUAAGCCCAGGUGGGAUUAGCUAGUAGGUGAGGUAAAGGCUCACCUAGGCGACGAUCCCUAGCUGGUCUGAGAGGAUGAUCAGCCACACUGGGACUGAGACACGGCCCAGACUCCUACGGGAGGCAGCAGUGGGGAAUAUUGCACAAUGGGGGAAACCCUGAUGCAGCCAUGCCGCGUGUGUGAAGAAGGCCUUCGGGUUGUAAAGCACUUUCAGCGAGGAGGAAAGGGUGUAAGUUAAUACCUUACAUCUGUGACGUUACUCGCAGAAGAAGCACCGGCUAACUCCGUGCCAGCAGCCGCGGUAAUACGGAGGGGUGCGAGCGUUAAUCGGAAUUACUGGGCGUAAAGCGUGCGCAGGCGGUUUGUUAAGCGAGAUGUGAAAGCCCCGGGCUCAACCUGGGAACCGCAUUUCGAACUGGCAAACUAGAGUCUUGUAGAGGGGGUAGAAUCCACGUGUAGCGGUGAAAUGCGUAAGAUCUGGAGGGAUACCGUGGCGAAG
rnacentral:rRNA from 1 species